GUCUUUAAGAAAUUAAUUUAAAGUCUAAUCUGCCCACUGAAUUUAAUAUUUAAAUGGCUGCAGAAUUUUAACUGUACAAAGGUAGCAUAAUAACUUGUUUUUUAAUUAAAAACUAGAAUGAAAGAUUUAAUGAGAUAUAAACUGUUUCAAAAAAAUUUAUAUUAAAUUUUUUAUUUAAGUAAAAAAACUUAAAUAACCGUUAAAGACGACAAGACCCUAUAGAAUUUUAUUUAUUAUUAUUUUUCUUAAAAAUUUAAUAAAUUUUAUUGGGGUAAUAAAAAAAUUAAAAUAAUUUUUUCUAAAAAAUACAAUUUUAAUUGAACUAAAAAUCUUAAUAUUUAAAUUAAAAAAAUUAAUUACCUUAGGGAUAACAGCAUAAUUUUUUUUAAAAGAUCAUAUUAAUAAAAAAUUUUAU
rnacentral:rRNA from 1 species